GACUGCCCCAGCCGCCCACAGGGUGCGUCGGGACCGCGGGGCCCAGGGCUGGGGGGGCUGUCCCCCCGCCAGGACCGACCGCCAAAAGUCGCCCUUCCCUCCGUGCGCGGCCCUCGGAGACGGCAGACAUUCAGCGGCCCUAAGGUCCACCCCGGGGCCGGGAAGCGGCUCUCAGCAGCGCCCUGGCGCGCAGGUUGCUCUCUCUCUCUGGGUCCCUGCCCCCCCGCAACCCCGUGGAGCCGCCGCUCUUCCCACCUACGCGUUAAGCCUCCCGGCGGUAAGAGGCGAAUGCAAAGGCUCCAGGGUUGCCCUGCCCUUACACGUUACCAGCGCCAGUUACAGACCCUCCCGAGUCGGAGACUGCGUCUCCAAACUCACCCAAUUAAGAGGGACUCCAACAACUUACACGUCAGACUACGGGGCAGAAAUGAUACCCCUUCUCCCUCCCGCCCCCCGAAGCGCCGUACCAAUCCUCUGAUCCUGCAUGAAAACACAAGGGUUACUGGUCACACAGUUUAAGAGAGUGAGAGAGAAAGAGAAAGAGAGAAAAACAGUCCUUAUAACCAAUGACUAUACACAUCUUUGGGGGAGGGGAAGGUUCUUGGGCAGACACAUUUCAAACACAAUCCCGAGACGCUUUGUGGCAAAAUAGAGGUAUACCUUGUUGCAAUGUUUUUAUAAAUUGGUUUCAAAGAGGAAAUCGAAAAUCUAUUUUUAAUCAUCUAAGACUUAAUAGGGGGUGGAUCUCAACCAAACAAAACCAAAACCCCGCUACAGACAUGCUAGAAGAGACCCAGGAAACAACCCCUUGUUAAGAGUCAACUAAAAACAACAUUGCAAACCAACGCAGCUCCACCUUCCUGCAAGGAAUCUUUCAACAAUGCAGGGCUGAAUCGUCUCUUUCCUGAUGAUGGAAAACCUACUGGAGCUUCUUUUGGCAAGGCUAUCCCCAAUAUUGAAACAGCACCAUUCGGAUUGGGAGGGACCAGAUAGAAAGUCCCUCUACCUUGGUUUCUCCCUAAGAUGUGCAGUCAAAUGAAAAGAUUUUUUUUUUUUUUUGAGAUCCACAAGUACAAAUCCUUUACAUUUGGAAAACGUCUUUUUAAUCCUCCUCUGAUCAUUGAAAAGCACGGGGUUUGUGGUUCUUUUUAGUAUUUUUUUCUAGUGAGAUCCCAUGAUUGUCUUCACAGUGUUGCUACCAUAUUACCUUGUCUUUUCAAACAUGACUCCGUUCAUCUCAUGGAACAGUUCCUUGCUAGGUUUCUUACAGGGUUGUUAAAUAUUCUUUCCCCCUAAAUUUCGGAGUCACAACACGUUCACUUUCCCACUCUCUCCAACGGGAUGAGGAUAAGGGCAGAAACAACAACAACAGAAAUCUGAAUGAGUGUUCCUCAUGCCUCAAUAGGACUGGCUACCAUGCUGUUGGGUGUAUCUGGCAGCUGAGAGGACAUUGAUGCUACUUCACUUCCAGUAGAAUUGGAACCGGGUCCUCCUUCCGAAAAAUUAACCUGCCAAAAAAAAAAAAAAAAAA